AACGAACGCUGGCGGCAUGCCUAACACAUGCAAGUCGAACGAGACCUUCGGGUCUAGUGGCGCACGGGUGCGUAACGCGUGGGAAUCUGCCCUUCGGUUGGGAAUAACACAGAGAAAUUUGUGCUAAUACCUUAUAAUGUCUUCGGACCAAAGAUUUAUCGCCGAGGGAUGAGCCCGCGUAGGAUUAGGUAGUUGGUGGGGUAAUGGCCUACCAAGCCGACGAUCCUUAGCUGGUCUGAGAGGAUGAUCAGCCACACUGGGACUGAGACACGGCCCAGACUCCUACGGGAGGCAGCAGUGGGGAAUAUUGGACAAUGGGCGAAAGCCUGAUCCAGCAAUGCCGCGUGAGUGAUGAAGGCCUUAGGGUUGUAAAGCUCUUUUACCAGGGAUGAUAAUGACAGUACCUGGAGAAUAAGCUCCGGCUAACUCCGUGCCAGCAGCCGCGGUAAUACGGAGGGAGCUAGCGUUGUUCGGAAUUACUGGGCGUAAAGCGCGCGUAGGCGGUUACUCAGGUCAGAGGUGAAAGCCCGGGGCUCAACCCCGGAACUGCCUUUGAAACUAGGUAACUAGAAUCUUGGAGAGGUCAGUGGAAUUCCGAGUGUAGAGGUGAAAUUCGUAGAUAUUCGGAAGAACACCAGUGGCGAAGGCGACUGACUGGACA
rnacentral:rRNA from 1 species